GGAGAUUACGAAGUUUAUUCAGAAGUAUAACCAGAACAAAAUAUCCGGUUGUUGUGUGUUUGGCUGUACGAAUCGCUACUCUACCAACAGCGGACUGAAGUUUUACCGAUUCCGACGGGAUCACGGCCAUUUCAGAGCAACCGGAGGUGCAAGCCAUCAAACGUAUUGAUGAAAACUGGACUGAGGACACGAUCCAAAAUGCUGGCGUUUGCAGUGCCCAUUUUAUAUCAGGUACCAUAGGAAAAGGAGACGAGAUGAAAGGGUUUACACUCCACCAAAUCAGCCUGCUCCUUCUGAAACUCCAGGACAAGUCAUCAGCAUGGAUCACUGUCCUGAAAAGGAAAAAAGCAACUCUGCACAGGAGGUGGACUCAUCGAGACAACUGUCUCGUGUAAGGAUACAUGUGGAAUGAGUAAUUGGAUGAUGGAAGAACUUUAAGAUUUUGCAAACAGUAAUUCCAGUGUCACAUGUUAACAUUCUCGAUGAUGUUGUGAUAGUGUGUGGCACUCCCACAAACCU